ACGUAGGGUGCGAGCGUUAAUCGGAAUUACUGGGCGUAAAGCGUGCGCAGGCGGUCUUGCAAGACAGUGGUGAAAUCCCCGGGCUCAACCUGGGAACUGCCAUUGUGACUGCAAGGCUGGAGUACGGCAGAGGGGGAUGGAAUUCCGCGUGCGGCGGUUGACCGCGGGGAUAGGAGGGGGAACACCGCAGGAGAGGGCGGGGACCAGGACGGGAAAUAAACCUGAGGAUCGAGAGGGUGGGUAGCCAAAAG
rnacentral:rRNA from 1 species